GACGAACGCUGGCGGCGUGCUUAACACAUGCAAGUCGAACGCUGAAGCUCAGCUUUUGUUGGGUGGAUGAGUGGCGAACGGGUGAGUAACACGUGAGUAACCUGCCCCCUUCUUUGGGAUAACGCCCGGAAACGGGUGCUAAUACUGGAUAUUCACUGGUCUUCGCAUGGGGGUUGGUGGAAAGGGUUUUUCUGGUGGGGGAUGGGCUCGCAGCCUAUCAGCUUGUUGGUGGGGUGAUGGCCUACCAAGGCUUUGACGGGUAGCCGGCCUGAGAGGGUGACCGGUCACAUUGGGACGGAGAUACGGCCCAGACUCCUACGGGAGGCAGCAGUGGGGAAUAUUGCACAAUGGGCGCAAGCCUGAUGCAGCGACGCCGCGUGAGGGAUGGAGGCCUUCGGGUUGUGAACCUCUUUCGCUCAUGGUCAAGCCGCAACAAUGGUUGUGGUGAGGGUAGUGGGUAAAGAAGCGCCGGCUAACUACGUG
rnacentral:rRNA from 1 species